GUGGGGCUUUGGGAUUAAGUUCCUCCCAGAGAUGCUGGCUAUGGUGAGGAAUGAUUUUCACGAGUGAAGGCAUCGGCGCUGGACAGCGUGGCUUAUGCAAAGUUCCUUACCGGCCAAGUAGAUACGAGAGAAGAAAUUUCUUCACUUCACAUUACUGCUGUCUAAUGAUUUGGAGGAGGAGAAUGGUGUUUGGUAUCCAAGUUUGUUGGUGACAUGAAAUCAGCGGGAAGACAUCUUGUGAUGAGGAUGUUUCAAAGUUCAAAGUAAAAUUUAUUAUCAGAGUACAUACAUGUCACCACAUACAACCCCAAAGUUCUUUUUCUGCAAGCAUAUUUAGCAAAUCUAUAGAAUAGUAACUGUAAACAGGACCUGUAAACUGUAAACAUCAGGAAUUGCAAACUGUAAACGAACUGUGCAAAUGCAGUUAAUAAAUAACUAGCAAUAAAUAAUGAACAUGAAGUA